rnacentral:lncRNA from 1 species
UGAUACUUCCUUCAUAAUUGCAAGUGAUACCAACCCAAUUGCAAUGAUCUGAAGUAUUGUGAGGAAUCCUGUCCUUCCACCAGCCGCUGUUGAGUAAAGCUUGUCUUUCUAUUUCAGAUGCUGCAACAUGAAUACUAAUGUUGGUAGCAGAUGCAACAUGGACUAUCAAAAGAGUAAGGGCAGCCCAUAUGAAUACGAUGACUGCUCUGCAAGUAUUGGAGAAACCACACGCCAUGUUUAGGAUAGUUUCAACAAAGCUAGGUCCAAGCUAAAAUGACUUUUG